rnacentral:rRNA from 1 species
GAGCGGAUGACGGGAGCUUGCUCCUUGAUUCAGCGGCGGACGGGUGAGUAAUGCCUAGGAAUCUGCCUGGUAGUGGGGGACAACGUUUCGAAAGGAGCGCUAAUACCGCAUACGUCCUACGGGAGAAAGCAGGGGACCUUCGGGCCUUGCGCUAUCAGAUGAGCCUAGGUCGGAUUAGCUAGUUGGUGGGGUAAUGGCUCACCAAGGCGACGAUCCGUAACUGGUCUGAGAGGAUGAUCAGUCACACUGGAACUGAGACACGGUCCAGACUCCUACGGGAGGCAGCAGUGGGGAAUAUUGGACAAUGGGCGAAAGCCUGAUCCAGCCAUGCCGCGUGUGUGAAGAAGGUCUUCGGAUUGUAAAGCACUUUAAGUUGGGAGGAAGGGCAGUAAGUUAAUACCUUGCUGUUUUGACGUUACCGACAGAAUAAGCACCGGCUAACUCUGUGCCAGCAGCCGCGGUAAUACAGAGGGUGCAAGCGUUAAUCGGAUUUACUGGGCGUAAAGCGCGCGUAGGCGGCUAAUUAAGUCAAAUGUGAAAUCCCCGAGCUUAACUUGGGAAUUGCAUUCGAUACUGGUUAGCUAGAGUGUGGGAGAGGAUGGUAGAAUUCCAGGUGUAGCGGUGAAAUGCGUAGAGAUCUGGAGGAAUACCGAUGGCGAAGGCAGCCAUCUGGCCUAACACUGACGCUGAGGUGCGAAAGCAUGGGGAGCAAACAGGAUUAGAUACCCUGGUAGUCCAUGCCGUAAACGAUGUCUACUAGCCGUUGGGGCCUUUGAGGCUUUAGUG